UCGCACCUACCGAUUGAAUGGUCCGGUGAAGCCUCGGGAUUGUGACAGAUUGGCUUUAUUGUCGACCUGUCGCGAGAACUUGUCUAAACCUUAUCAUUUAGAGGAAGGUG
rnacentral:rRNA from 1 species